rnacentral:rRNA from 1 species
GAGUUUGAUCCUGGCUCAGAUUGAACGCUGGCGGCAGGCCUAACACAUGCAAGUCGAACGGUAGCACAGAGAGCUUGCUCUCGGGUGACGAGUGGCGGACGGGUGAGUAAUGUCUGGGAAACUGCCUGAUGGAGGGGGAUAACUACUGGAAACGGUAGCUAAUACCGCAUAACGUCGCAAGACCAAAGAGGGGGACCUUCGGGCCUCUUGCCAUCGGAUGUGCCCAGAUGGGAUUAGCUAGUAGGUGGGGUAACGGCUCACCUAGGCGACGAUCCCUAGCUGGUCUGAGAGGAUGACCAGCCACACUGGAACUGAGACACGGUCCAGACUCCUACGGGAGGCAGCAGUGGGGAAUAUUGCACAAUGGGCGCAAGCCUGAUGCAGCCAUGCCGCGUGUAUGAAGAAGGCCUUCGGGUUGUAAAGUACUUUCAGCGAGGAGGAAGGCAUUAAGGUUAAUAACCUUAGUGAUUGACGUUACUCGCAGAAGAAGCACCGGCUAACUCCGUGCCAGCAGCCGCGGUAAUACGGAGGGUGCAAGCGUUAAUCGGAAUUACUGGGCGUAAAGCGCACGCAGGCGGUCUGUCAAGUCGGAUGUGAAAUCCCCGGGCUCAACCUGGGAACUGCAUCCGAAACUGGCAGGCUAGAGUCUUGUAGAGGGGGGUAGAAUUCCAGGUGUAGCGGUGAAAUGCGUAGAGAUCUGGAGGAAUACCGGUGGCGAACGCGGCCCCCUGGACAAAGACUGACGCUC